GCUCUCUCGGAUAUGAGGGAGUUGGUUUUGGAAAAUUAAAUCAGACUGACUAAAAGGAUGGUAUGAUUCACAAGAAAAGAGAAGAUCAUUGUGUGAUAGGAUAAUUAUUUUUGGAGCACUUUAUUUUCAUGACUUCCAGCGCACAGAGAAGAAACAUAUGGACGGUGUUGCUAAUUUAGGCCUGUGCUUGCUUCAGGCUCUGCAUGGAGGUUCUACACCAGAGCUCUUUGGUCUCCAUUUUUGAAUGGAGUGCUGCAAGAGAUGCCGUCAUCAGGCAGCAGAGUUAACACAGCACCUGGCAUGUAGGAAGACCCUUGAAAACUGACAAGAGGUUUACAGCUGAGGUGAAGGAGAAAAGAGGCCAGAAAGAUUGCCAAGCGUCUGUGUGUGGAGUGCACACGUCUGACAUCCUCAGGUGUGGUAUCAGAGGUGUGUGACUGCUUUUUGACACGGGAUUUGGCUGAAGGAAGAGAAAUGUAUGAUAAUGACGAGGGAGUCUACACAUCUG